GCCUCAGUGGCUUAGCCCGGUAGAGCGGUUGACUCGUAAUCAACAGAUCGGGGGUUCAACUCCCCUCUGGGGCU
rnacentral:tRNA from 1 species